GAACGUUAGGUUCUAGGAACUGCAAAAAACUAGCCUGACAAGCCAGACCCACAUCAUCAAGAUGUCGGGUCUGGGAACUCCCCAUUUGCAGGGCUCAAUCCGAGGGGCGGGAUCAACGGCUGUCUUUCCCUCUCCACGCAAUAAGAUAGAUCUCCAAC